rnacentral:rRNA from 1 species
CUAGCGACUUCAGAGUUUGAUCCUGGCUCAGGAUGAACGCUGGCGGCGUGCUUAACACAUGCAAGUCGAACGAAGCAACUAGGACAGAAGCCUUCGGGUGGAAGACUUAGUUGACUGAGUGGCGGACGGGUGAGUAACGCGUGGGUAACCUGCCUCACACAGGGGGAUAACAGUUAGAAAUGACUGCUAAUACCGCAUAAGCGCACAGUAUCGCAUGGUACAGUGUGAAAAACUCCGGUGGUGUGAGAUGGACCCGCGUCUGAUUAGCUAGUUGGUGGGGUAACGGCCUACCAAGGCGACGAUCAGUAGCCGACCUGAGAGGGUGACCGGCCACAUUGGGACUGAGACACGGCCCAA